UACGAAGGGGGCUAGCGUUGCUCGGAAUUACUGGGCGUAAAGGGCGCGUAGGCGGUUCUAUAAGUCAGGCGUGAAAUUCCUGGGCUUAACCUGGGGGCUGCGCUUGAGACUGUGGGACUUGAGGUCAGAAGAGGGUCGUGGAAUUCCCAGUGUAGAGGUGAAAUUCGUAGAUAUUCGGAAGAACACCAGUGGCGAAGGCGGCUCACUGGACUGGUAUUGACGCUGAGGUGCGAAAGCGUGGGGAGCAAACAGG
rnacentral:rRNA from 1 species